UGGGGAAUCUUAGACAAUGGGCGAAAGCCUGAUCUAGCCAUGCCGCGUGAGUGACGAAGGCCCUAGGGUCGUAAAGCUCUUUCGCCAGGGAAGAUAAUGACGGUACCUGGAGAAGAAACCCCGGCUAACUCCGUGCCAGCAGCCGCGGUAAUACGGAGGGGGUUAGCGUUGUUCGGAAUUACUGGGCGUAAAGCGCACGUAGGCGGACCAGCCAGUCAGAGGUGAAAUCCCGGGGCUCAACCUCGGAACUGCCUUUGAUACUGCUGGUCUCGAGUCCGAGAGAGGUGAGUGGAAUUCCGAGUGUAGAGGUGAAAUUCGUAGAUAUUCGGAGGAACACCAGUGGCGAAGGCGGCUCACUGGCUCGGUACUGACGCUGAGGUGCGAAAGCGUGGGGAGCAAACAGGAUUAGAUACCCGCGUAGUCC
rnacentral:rRNA from 1 species